UUUCCGUAAGUGAACCUGCGGAAGGAUCAUUAUUGUAUAACCGAGGUGCGAGGGCUGUCGCUGACCCGAAAGGUCGUGCACGCCCGAGUGCCCUCACACACAUCCAUCUCACCCCUAUGUGCACCACCGCGUGGGUCCCCCUUUGGCUUGUUCGGAGGGGGGCUUACGUUUUCACACAAACUUUGUAUGCAGUGUAGAAUGUAUUUUUUGUUUUUGCGAUCACGCAAUCAAUACAACUUUCAACAACGGAUCUCUUGGCUCUCACAUCGAUGAAGAACGCAGC
rnacentral:misc_RNA from 1 species